rnacentral:rRNA from 3 species
GAGGAAGUAAAAGUCGUAACAAGGUCUCCGUUGGUGAACCAGCG